AAAAUCCGUUGGCUUUAAAGACCAUGAGGGUUCAAGUCCCUCUACCCCCA
rnacentral:tRNA from 1 species